AUUGAACGCUGGCGGCAGGCCUAACACAUGCAAGUCGAGCGGAUGAAGGGAGCUUGCUCCUGGAUUCAGCGGCGGACGGGUGAGGAAUGCCUAGGAAUCUGCCUGGUAGUGGGGGAUAACGUCCGGAAACGGGCGCUAAUACCGCAUACGAUCUGAGGGAGAACGGGGGGGAGCUUCGGACGUCGCGCUACCAGAUGAGCCUAGGUCGGGUUAGCUAGUUGGUGGGGUAAAGGCCUACCAAGGCGACGAUCCGCAACUGGUCUGAGAGGAUGAUCAGUCACACUGGAACUGAGACACGGUCCAGACUCCUACGGGAGGCAGCAGUGGGGAAUAGUGGACAAUGGGCGAAAGCCUGAUCCAGCCAUGCCGCGUGUGUGAAGAAGGUCUUCGGAUUGUAAAGCACUUUAAGUUGGGAGGAAGGGCAGUAAGUUAAUACCUUGCUGUUUUGACGUUACCAACAGAAUAAGCACCGGCUAACUUCGUG
rnacentral:rRNA from 1 species